rnacentral:misc_RNA from 1 species
GAUGAAGAACGCAGUGAAAUGCGAUAAGUAAUGUGAAUUGCAGAAUUCAGUGAAUCAUCGAAUCUUUGAACGCACCUUGCACCCUUUGGUAUUCCGAAGGGUAUGCUCGUUUGAGUGUCAUUGUACUCUCACACUUCUAAUUCCUUUCGGGAUUGGGAGCGGUGGACUUGGGUGUUGCUGCUUUAGUUGUGGCUCACCUCAAAUAAGUUAGUGCAACUCUUGGUUGGACAUAGUACGGCGUGAUAAGUGUCUUCGCCGGCGCCUCUGUAAGGAGGGUGGCCGAUCGGGAGCUCUGUGCUUCAAACCGUCUUCGGACAAUCUUUGACAACUUGACCUCAAAUCGAGUAGGACUACCCGCUGAACUUAAGCAUAUCAUAAGCGGAGGA